rnacentral:rRNA from 1 species
UACAGAGGUCUCAAGCGUUGUUCGGAUUCAUUGGGCGUAAAGGGUGCGUAGGUGGCGCCGUAAGUCGGGUGUGAAAUUUCGGAGCUUAACUCCGAAACUGCAUUCGAUACUGCGGUGCUUGAGGACUGGAGAGGAGACUGGAAUUCAUGGUGUAGCAGUGAAAUGCGUAGAGAUCAUGAGGAAGACCAGUGGCGAAGGCGGCUCACUGGCCCGAUACUGACGCUGAGGCACGAAAGCGUGGGGAGCAAACAGG